GUAGGUGGCAAGCGUUGUCCGGAAUUAUUGGGCGUAAAGCGCGCGCAGGCGGUUCUUUAAGUCUGAUGUGAAAGCCCACGGCUCAACCGUGGAGGGUCAUUGGAAACUGGAGAACUUGAGUACAGAAAAGGAAAGCGGAAUUCCACGUGUAGCGGUGAAAUGCGUAGAGAUGUGGAGGAACACCAGUGGCGAAGGCGGCUUUCUGGUCUGUAACUGACGCUGAGGCGCGAAAGCGUGGGGAGCAAACAGGGAUUAGAUACCCUGGUAGUCCACGCCGUAAACGAUGAGUGCUAAGUGUUAGGGGGUUUCCCGCCCCUUAGUGCUGCAGCUAACGCAUUAAGCACUCCGCCUGGGGAGUACGGCCGCAAGGCUG
rnacentral:rRNA from 1 species